CCCCUAGAUGUUCUGGGCCGCACGCGCGCUACACUGAACAGUUCAACAAGUCUUAACCUUGGCCGAUAGGUCUGGGUAAUCUUUGAACGCUGUUCGUGAUUGGGAUAGACCUUUGCAAUUAUGGGUCUUCAACGAGGAAUUCCUAGUAAACGCAAGUCAUCAGCUUGCAUUGAUUACGUCCCUGCCCUUUGUACACACCGCCCGUCGCACCUACCGAUUGAAUGGUCCGGUGAAAUCUCGGGACGGCGGCUUGGUCGCUUGCGUCCGACUGCUGAAACUUGAUUAAUCCAUAUCAUUUAGAGGAAGGUGAAGUCGUANCA
rnacentral:rRNA from 1 species